ACGCUCGACACCUACGGAGGCAGCAGUGGGGAAUAUUGCACAAUGGGGGAAACCCUGAUGCAGCGACGCCGCGUGAGUGAAGAAGUAUUUCGGUAUGUAAAGCUCUAUCAGCAGGGAAGAAGAUGACGGUACCUGAGUAAGAAGCCCCGGCUAACUACGUGUCAGCAGCCGGCGGUAAUCUGAGCGGGCUGGCAAGGC
rnacentral:rRNA from 1 species